UACGAAGGGGGCUAGCGUUUUUCGGAUUUACUGGGCGUAAAGCGCGUGUAGGCGGGUCGUUAAGUUGGGGGUGAAAUCCCGAGGCUCAACCUCGGAACUGCCUUCAAAACUGGCGACCUGGAGCAAGAUAGAGGCAAGUGGAAUUGCGAGUGUAGAGGUGAAAUUCGUAGAUAUUCGCAGGAACACCAGUGGCGAAGGCGACUUGCUGGAUCUUUGCUGACGCUGAGACGCGAAAGCGUGGGGAGCAAACAGG
rnacentral:rRNA from 1 species